rnacentral:rRNA from 1 species
GACGAACGCUGGCGGCGUGCUUAACACAUGCAAGUCGAACGGAAAGGCCCUGCUUGCAGGGUACUCGAGCGGCGAACGGGUGAGUAACACGUGGGUGAUCUGCCCUGCACUUCGGGAUAAGCCUGGGAAACUGGGUCUAAUACCGGAUAUGACCUUCCAUGUAGUGUGGGGGGUGGAAAGAUUUAUCGGUGUGGGAUGAGCCCGCGGCCUAUCAGCUUGUUGGUGGGGUAAUGGCCUACCAAGGCGUCGACGGGUAGCCGGCCUGAGAGGGUGGACGGCCACAUUGGGACUGAGAUACGGCCCAGACUCCUACGGGAGGCAGCAGUGGGGAAUAUUGCACAAUGGGCGGAAGCCUGAUGCAGCGACGCCGCGUGGGGGAUGACGGCCUUCGGGUUGUAAACCUCUUUCGACAGGGACGAAGCUUCGGUGACGGUACCUGUAUAAGAAGCACCGGCUAACUACGUG